rnacentral:lncRNA from 1 species
CCCACCUCAUUACUUGCCAGGAUUAGGCAUGUAAGAGCACCUCAUAUCAAAUGCUGUCAUGCGCAAAGGGUUUCUUGCCCUAAAGGCACUCAGGGGCCAAUAUAUAAGCCGUCCCUGUGUGUAGCACCCUCACACACUCCUCCGGACACCUUUCUACCCUGCAACCAGCAAGGUGAGCCUGAACCCCACUCCCAUCCUUCGCCCACCUGAUCAGCCUUAUCUCCCUACCCCCCAUCUCCCCCCAGCCUCAGAAGCCUUUCUGCCUCCCCAAAGCCAUGCUCCCCACUACCCCAGGCCUUCCUACUGCCUUGACCUCCCCCACCACCCCUCCACACACCCCCAGUACCCUCAGCCUUCCCAACACCCUCUCUUCCAGGCACCCUCCACACCACAGACAUGUCCUGCUACGACAUCUGCCGCCCCUGCGGACCCACCCCGCUGGCUAACAGCUGCAACGAGCCCUGUGUCAGGCAGUGCGAGGACUCCCGCGUCGUCAUCCAGCCUCCUGCCGUGCUGGUCACCCUGCCAGGACCCAUCCUCAGCUCCUUCCCCCAGAACACCGCUGUUGGAUCCUCUGCAUCAGCUGCCGUGGGCAGCAACCUCAGCGCCCAGGGAGUGCCCGUCUCUGGAGGCGGCUUCGGAGGCUUUGGCCUUGGAGGCUUUGGCUUUGGAGGCCUGGGCUGCAUCAACGGAGGAAGAGCCUGCUACCCCUGCUAAGGACCCAUGCCAACACCCCUGACAGCAGCCUCCAGCACUGUGCCAGACAGCUCUCAGGCUGAGGAUGCUCCUCUGUGCCGCUCAUGGCACACGGGCUCACCAGCUGCAGCUCAUCAUUCCAUGGCACAACAAAACAAGCAAGCAAGGAAGGGACCAGCCCAUGCUGUCAGGAAACAUGGCCAACAUACCUCCUUCUUGCUUGCUUUGUUGUGCCAUGGAAUGAGCUACAGCUGGUGAGCCCAUGUGCCAUGAGCGGCACAGAGGAGCAUCCUCAGCCUGAGAGCUGUCUGGCACGGUGCUGGAGGCUGCUGUCAGGGGUGUUGGCGUGGGUCCUUAGCAGGGGUAGCAGGCUCUUCUGCCAGAGAAGCAGCCCAGGCCUCCGAAGCCAUAGCCCCCAAAGCCAAAGCCUCCAAGGCCAAAGCCUCCGAAGCCACCUCCAGAGAUGGGCACUCCCUGGACGCUGAGGUUGCUGCCCACGGCAGCUGAUGCGGAGGAUCCAACGGCGGUGUUCUGGGGGAAGGAGCUGAGGAUGGGUCCUGGCAGGGUGACCAGCACGGCAGGAGGCUGGAUGACGACGCGGGA